AAUGACUCACGAUCCUCGAGAGUGGCAUUCAGACUCAAACGGUGGCGACAAAUACGUUGGUCACACCAAGUGUUUGCCAAUCGAAAAGUUCACAGAAAGGUUCGCUACCGGUACUGAAUUCCUUGGUCUCUGUCGCAUUCGAGAACGAGAAGAGCCUUCCCAGGAAGGCUCUUCUUUUGUCUUUUUUUUUUUGCAGUUUGAGUGUACUGCGUGAAGACCGGGAUCAACCAACCCCCUGUGUGGCAGAAGCCGCAAAACGAACACUCCGAAAGACGGACCGAGAAGAAGCGCCGGCGGGAUCGCGCUCAAGACGCGGAUCUGAAUGAUUCAGAAUCGCGGGAACCACGGAACGGAAAGGAAAAGACGGUGACAGUGAAUCUGACCCCGUGAGGAUCUGGCAGUCGUGACGUGGCCAGCCCGAAUCCCCUUUCCAGCGGACAGCGAUCAAGGUGCACAUCGAUCACCUACUUCUUGAGGAGAGCAAAGGUCAUUGAAUCCCACGCGACGGGAACUGUUCUUGCUGUUGGCAGGCGGGAGGUAGAGACGGGAGCGGCGGACGUGAGUUAUAACACUAAGAAGAUGAGAAGGGAAGAAGAAAGAAGAAGAAGAGCAUGCACAGUGAGCAGGAGAAUAAGGAAGUAGAAGAGGAAUGAGGUAUCGUAUGGAUGGGUUAAAAUAAAAAUAUG